AGUCGAGGGGCAGCAGGAUCUAGCAAUAGAUUGCUGGCGACCGGCGCACGGGUGAGUAACACGUAUCCAACCUGCCGAUAACUCGGGGAUAGCCUUUCGAAAGAAAGAUUAAUACCCGAUAGUAUAAUCAGACCGCAUGGUUUGAUUAUUAAAGAAUUUCGGUUAUCGAUGGGGAUGCGUUCCAUUAGGCAGUUGGUGAGGUAACGGCUCACCAAACCUUCGAUGGAUAGGGGUUCUGAGAGGAAGGUCCCCCACAUUGGAACUGAGACACGGUCCAAACUCCUACGGGAGGCAGCAGUGAGGAAUAUUGGUCAAUGGACGCGAGUCUGAACCAGCCAAGUAGCGUGAAGGAUGACUGCCCUAUGGGUUGUAAACUUCUUUUAUAUGGGAAUAAAGUUUUCCACGUGUGGAAUUUUGUAUGUACCAUAUGAAUAAGGAUCGGCUAACUCCGUGCCAGCAGCCGCGGUAAUACGGAGGAUCCGAGCGUUAUCCGGAUUUAUUGGGUUUAAAGGGAGCGUAGGUGGACAGUUAAGUCAGUUGUGAAAGUUUGCGGCUCAACCGUAAAAUUGCAGUUGAUACUGGCUGUCUUGAGUACAGUAGAGGUGGGCGGAAUUCGUGGUGUAGCGGUGAAAUGCUUAGAUAUCACGAAGAACUCCGAUUGCGAAGGCAGCUCACUGGACUGCAACUGACACUGAUGCUCGAAAGUGUGGGUAUCAAACAGGAUUAGAUACCCUGGUAGUCCACACAGUAAACGAUGAAUACUCGCUGUUUGCGAUAUACAGUA
rnacentral:rRNA from 1 species